rnacentral:siRNA from 1 species
UUACUGCAUCCUGUCACCUGUUGC